AUGGAGGAUCAGCUAAAAGAACUGCAAAACCAGGCUGAAACAGUUUUGCGUCAAAAAAUGGCGAAAUGGAAAGAUUCCCGAGAGUCCAGAAUUCCAUGCCUACUGGCAAGUGCUGAGCGGCACACAGCAGCACAUUCAGCCGGGCACAGGGCGACCUUGGCAGCUGCUCACACAAGUCCUAGCGGAAAAAGAAAACCCUUCACAGUGGAACGAGUGACCCUGUAGCUCUUUGCUGGCAGAGUGGUACAACAGCUGAACAGCUUGCCCCAAGUGCUGGUGGAGCCUCCUUUCUCCGAGAUAUUCAGCACUUCACUACACAUGGCCCUGAGCAACCAGUUGCAGCUGACCCUGCAUUCAGCAGGGCUGUUGCACUCCGGGAGCACAGACGGGGCCUGCCGGCCGCAGCGAUACACAGAGAUCAGUCACGUCACGUUGGAAGAGGCAGGAAA
rnacentral:lncRNA from 1 species